rnacentral:rRNA from 1 species
CCCGCUCAGAAACUCAAAGGAAUUGACGGGGGCCCGCACAAGCGGUGGAGCAUGUGGUUUAAUUCGAAGCAACGCGAAGAACCUUACCAGGCCUUGACAUGCAGAGAACUUUCCAGAGAUGGAUUUGGUGCCUUCGGGAACUCUGACACAGGUGCUGCAUGGUUGUCGUCAGCUCGUGCCGUGAGGUGUCGGGUUAAGUCCCAUAACGAGCGCAACCCCUAUCAUUAGUUGCCAUCAGGUUAAGCUGGGGACUCUAAAGGAACUGCCUACGCAAGUAGUGAGGAAGGCGGGGAUGACGUCAAAUCAGCACGGCCCUUACGUCCAGGGCUACACACGUGCUACAAUGGCCGAUACAGAGGGCAGCUACCUGGUGACAGGAUGCAAAUCUCCAAAGUCGGUCUCAGUUCGGAUCGGAGUCUGCAACCCGACUCCGUGAAGUUGGAUUCGCUAGUAAUCGCGCAUCAGCCAUGGCGCGGUGAAUACGUUCCCGGGCCUU